GAGUAACACGUGGAUAACCUACCUCAAGGUUGGGGAUAACAUUUGGAAACAGAUGCUAAUACCGAAUAAAACUUAGUAUCGCAUGAUACCAGGUUAAAAGGCGCUACGGCGUCACCUAGAGAUGGAUCCGCGGUGCAUUAGUUAGUUGGUGGGGUAAAGGCUUACCAAGACAAUGAUGCAUAGCCGAGUUGAGAGACUGAUCGGCCACAUUGGGACUGAGACACGGCCCAAACUCCUACGGGAGGCUGCAGUAGGGAAUCUUCCACAAUGGGCGAAAGCCUGAUGGAGCAACGCCGCGUGUGUGAUGAAGGCUUUCGG
rnacentral:rRNA from 1 species